UGGGGAAUUUUGCACAAUGGGGGAAACCCUGAUGCAGCGACGCCGCGUGAUUUAGAAGGCCUUCGGGUUGUAAAAAUCUUUUCUAUGGGAAGAAAAUGACAGUACCAUAGGAAUAAGGACCGGCUAAUUACGUGCCAGCAGCCGCGGUAAUACGUAAGGUCCGAGCGUUGUCCGGAAUCAUUGGGCGUAAAGGGUACGUAGGCGGGUAAGCAAGUUAGAAGUGAAAUCCUAUAGCUCAACUAUAGUAAGCUUUUAAAACUGCUCAUCUUGAGGUAUGGAAGGGAAAGUGGAAUUCCCAGUGUAGCGGUGAAAUGCGCAGAUAUUAGGAGGAAUACCGGUGGCGAAGGCGACUUUCUGGCCAUAACCUGACGCUGAGGUACGAAAGCGUGGGUAGCAAACAGG
rnacentral:rRNA from 2 species